rnacentral:snoRNA from 2 species
CCCCUCUCAGGGUUGCACAUGGAGAGUUUCCAGUAAUCUCCAGUCUCAGCUAUGGGAGGGAGAGUCAAGCAGAGGCCUACCUAUUCCACUUCUAGCUUGGCCAGUGUCUAGUGAGUGGAAGGCAAUCUGCUACAAGU